ensembl:lncRNA
GAGGUUAUCUCUGGAGAAGAAGUUCAGUGCAUUCCAAUUUUUUCAGCACAAGCUUGCUGGCCUCCAGACACUUUGCUGCCUGCGGCAAAGGGCAACAUAAUGUCCUCUGCCAGCCAGCUGAACUGGCAGCUGGAUUGUCCUUUUGAUGCUGACAGUGAGACAGCAUGCUGCUGAAGUAGGCAGGGCAGAGUGGUGUCCUUCAGACAACUGGCACUGUAGCUCCUCCACCCUUGUUCCCAGGGGAGAUUGUCUCACUUUGCCUAAUAGCAGGGCCAGUUCUGCAGCACCCUAAGCAGGAUGCUUUCCCCACUCCACCAGACUGCUUCCUCCGCCUUUGCUCUGUUGGAAGGAACUAUCCCUUCCCUCUGUAGUUCUCUCUCCCUCUUUCCACAUCCCCAGCUUGCUCUCUGGACUCCCGCUUAAUAUAGCCUGUGCCGAAUCCUCGCCCCUCUAUUCUGCCUCUAUCUAUAGCUCCUCCUUGGUCUUCUCUUAUUCCUAUUUUAAGCCUGAGCCGCUGAUGUGACAGGCAGAAGCUUGUGUUUACUUCCCUUCAGUUCCCAGGGAUGUGCACAGGCCCUCUCCCAGCCUCUUCCAGAUUUUCCCCUCUUCUCCUUUUCCGCCACAACAACUGCAGUAAGAGGAGUCUGGCUAUAGGGAUGUCCGGCGAGAUUGGAGAAGACACUAUGGUGAAGAAGGCUGCUUCCUCCGAGAGGGAACUGAUGGAACUAAGCGAAAAUGAUGUAGCAGAAAUCAACCUGCACGCUGUGGAAUCCAUCAGCGACUUGCACUACGGAUCCAGCAGACACGAAGGGAGCAGCCAGACUCAGCACAACAGCCCGUGGACACCGCAUAGCCUGGCCUCCUCCAAGCACUUCACUUUCCCAAAUGAAGAGGACUCGUCCUUUGUACCCAUCCAGAAUUUCCACAUGAUGCCCACUUUCACCUGUUGUCCUUGCUUUGGCCCAACCUGUUGCCCCACUGGCUUCUUUGCCCUCCUCGGAGUGCUGGUUGUGGCCAGUCUAGGCCUGGCCACCCUGGCGGUCUAUCUGAGUGUCCUGCAACGUGAGUCACUUCGGACGCUUGCUCAGUGGCUGGAGUCACAAGAGGAGGCCAUUCGACAAAUGAGAGCAGUGAGUUUACAGCUAUGGAAGCAGCUCAAUGCCAGCGAGCCUGGGGCUCAAACCUGAGCUUGGCAGUUACUACUCGUCUUGGUUCUAACUUUCCUUGGGGGAAGCCCGAUUCAUGUGACAAUGAGAGAAAACCAACUCACUGCUUGGCGCAUUUCGGACACUUGACAUGUGUUGGUUUGGACUCUGCAAUUCCUAAAGCAGAAAGCUCUCCAGAAGCAUUAGAGACCCGUUGCUGAAGUGUGUGUGGCCCGCAGACAGGAACAGCUGCAACACUUGAGGCUACCCAGGAAAGGGAGGAAGACUGGCAGAAACCCUACCCAUUGGUAAAGAGGAAGGGGUGCCUCCCGUGAACACUUCAGAUGCUGUUUUUUUUUCCAUACAUACACAGUAUUUUAAAUACUGUAUAUAUUAUCAGUACCUUUUCUCCACUUUAUAAUCAUUUAAAAUAUUGCUCACAUGGCACCUUUUGAUGUGUGUCUGGCAAUAAAAGCCACAAGCUUCCUUGGUCA